GACCCAGCGAGCUCACAGGGCCUUUUCUACUGCUCCCUCUAUUCCUGUAUUUUGCUCAGCUCUCUAAAUUGACUCAGCUCCAGGUGCCCAGAUUUCAUAUUGUUCAAACACACAGGCUCUACAAUUUGUGCAGUUAAUGCAAUCAUCACAGGGUCCUGAGGCAACAUACAUCCUCCUCAGCUUAUGAAGAUGAUGGGAUUAAGAGAUUAAGGUAAAGACAGGCAUAAGAAAUUAUAAAAGUAUUAAUUUGGGGAACUAAUAAAUGUCCAUGAAAUCUUCACAAUUUAUGUUCUUCUGCCAUGGCUUCAGCUGGUCCCUCCGUUUGGGGUCUCUGACUUCCAGCAGCAGGGAGGGUGUGUGUGUCCAGGAAUUUAUCUACCUCUUCUAGGUUUUCUAGUUUGUCUGCACAGAGGUGUUUAUAGUGCUUCUGAUGGCUGUUUCCAUUUCUGUAGGGUAAGUAAUAACAUUCCUUUAAAUCAUUUCUAAUUGUGUUUAUUUGGAUCUUCUCUCUUUUCUUCUUAAUUAGUCUAGCUAGUGGCCUAUUUUAUAAUUAUUUUUAAUUCCAACUCCCAAAUUCAUUGAUCUUUUGAAUGGUUUUUUGUGUCUUAAUUUCCUUCAGUUCAGCUCUGAUUUGUGUUAUUCCUUAUCUUCUGCUAGCUUCAGGGUUGAUUUGUUCUUUUUUCUCUAAUUCUUUCAAUUUUGAAUUUAGAUUGUUAAUUUGAGGCCUUACAAACUUUUUGAUGUGGGCAUUUAGUGCUAUGAAUUUCCCUCUUACUACUGCCUUAGUUGUGUCCCAGAGAUUCUGGUUUGUUGUAUCUUUGUUCUUAUUAUUUUUAUAGAACUUCUUGAUUUCAGACUUAAAUUUAUCUAAAAGUCAUCCAGGAGCAUGAUGUUUAAUUUCCAUGUAAUUGUAUGCUUUAAUAAUUUUCAUUGUGUUGACUUUUAUUUUUAUUGCACUGUGGCCUGAGAGUGUGUUUGGUAUGAUUUUGGUUAUUUUACAUUUGUUGAGGAUUGUUUUAUAUCCAAUUAUGUGGUUGAUUAUAGAGUAUGUGCCGUGUGGCUAUGAAAAGAAUGUAUAUUCUCUUAUUUGGGGAUGGACACUUCUGUAAAGGUCUAUCAGAUCCAUUUGGUCCAAUGCUAAGUUUAGGUCCUAAAUAUCUUCAUUAAUUUUCUGCCUGUAUGAUCUAAUACUGUCAGUGGAGUGUUGAUGUCACUCACUAUUAUUGGGUGGGAGUGUAUGUCUCUUUGUAGGUCUCUAAGAACUUGCCUCAUGAAUCCAGACAUUCCUGUAUUGGGUGCAUAUCUAUUUGGGAUUGUUAGGUCUUCUUGUUAAAUUGAAUACUUUACCAUUAUGUUAUAUCCUUGCUUGUCUUUUUUUAAAAAAACUUUCAUUUGUUUGAAACUUGUUUUGUCUGAAAUUAGGAUUGCAACCCCCCCUUUUUUCUGUUUUCCAUUUGCUUGGUAGAUUUUUCUCCAUUUAUUUAUUUUGAGCCUAUGAGUGUCAUUAAAUUUGAGACAGGUCUCUUGAAGACAGAAUACCAUUGGGUCUUGCUUUUUUAUCCUGCUUGCCAUUCUGUGCCAUUUAAUUGUGUCAUUUAGCCCAUUUACAUUCAAGAUUAAUAUUGAUAUGUGUGGAUUUGAUCCUGUCAUUGUGCUGUUAGCUUGUUAUUAUGUUGUCUUGUUUGUGUUGUUGCUUUACAGUGACACUGGUCUCUGUGUUUCAGGGCUUUUUUUAUUAGCUGGUAGUGGUGUUCUUUUCUAUACUAAGUGCCGCUUUCAAGAUCUCUUGUAAGGCAGAUCUGGUGAUAAUAAAUUCCCUCAACAUUUGCUUACCUGAAAAAAUCUUCCUUCUCCUUCACUUAAAAAGCUUAAUUUGGUUGGAUAUGAAAUUCUUGGUUGAAGAUUUUUUUCUUUAAGAAUGUUGAAUAUAGGCCUCCAAUCUCUUCUAAUUUGUAAGAACUCAGCUGACAGAUCUGCUGUUACCGUGAUAGAAAUCCCUUUGUAGGUGACCUGCCCUUUCUCUCUGGCUGCCUUUAACAUUCUUCCUUUUAUUUCAAUCUUGGGAAAUCUGAUGAUUAUAUAUCUUGGAGAUGAUCUUGUGUAGAAUCUUGCAUGAGUUCUCUGUAUUUCCUGAAUAUGUCUGUUGGCCUCUCUAGCAAGGUUGGGAAAGAGUUCAUGAAUGAUAUUCUGAAAUAUACUUUCCAAGUUGUUUGCUUUCUGGCUCUCCCUUUCAGGGAUUCCAGUGAUUUACAGAUUUAACCUCUUUUUAUAAUCCCAUACUUCUCAGGGGUUUUGUUCAUUUCUUUUUAUGCUUUUUCUUUAUUUUUGUCUGACUGUAUUAUUUCAGAAAACCAGUCUUCAAGUUCUGAAACUCUUUCCUCAGAUUAGUAUAUUCUGCUGAUAAUCCUUGUGAUUGCAUUGUGAGAUUCUUGUAUUGCGUUAUUCAGCUCUGUCAGACCCAUUAAAUUCUUUCUAAUACUGGUUAUUUCAUCCUUCAGCUCCUGUAUCACAUUAUUGUGAUUCUUAUUUUCCUUGGAUUGGGUUUUGUCUUCCUCCCAAAUCUCAAUAAUCUUUGUUUCUGCCAUAAACUGUAUUCUGUCAUUCUAGCCAGUUCAACCUUGUUAAGAACUCUUGUUGGAAAACUGCUGUAGUCUUUUGGAGGAAAUAUGAUAUUCUGGCCAUUUGAGUUAUUGCAUUUGUUCUUUCUCAUCUCUGUAUGUGGGUGUUUCUUUAACUGCAGUGUAUAUUGAGCACAGUAAAUAGACUUCCUUUCUGGAUGUUUUCACCAGGGAGAGCCUUUAUGUAGGGUAUUUAUUUGAAGCUGACUUUGUGUCUCUGGCUUCAAAGGGGGUUAUGUUAGUGAGGCAUUUUUGGUGUUGAAGUUUUGGGGUGUAAUCCAGCAGGUGACACUUACGCUUAUUGGUCAGUUGAUAGACUGUUGCUCAAUUAUAUGUUUCCCCUAUGUUUCCUCACAGUUGCAGCCAUGUUCCCUCUCAGUGUUCUGAAGAUGUAGGUUCCUUGUGCCCUUCAGUCCUGGCUACAGUUCAAAACUUGGCAUUCCUGAGCUGCCAACUGCAGCCCUGGUGGAAUCUCAGUGUUUAUAUUCCUUUCCCAGUUUAGAGGUAGCACUGAAGAGAUCUUAGUAGUGGUUGUGGCCAAGAGUCAACUUCUGGGGGUUCCAUCCCAGAGAGAUGCAGGUCAGCAAACACUCAGUGCAGUCAGCCCAAGAUGGAGGGUUUGUGCAUUUGUGGGACCCAUGGAAGUCUAACUGGGUUUCUCUCCUUGGGUUGACUGCAUCUUGUUGGAGGUAUGGAUAAGGCACUUAGGAUCUUUGCUCCUUCAUUAGUCCAAGAGUGGCAAGGGCAGUUCUACUGCAGAGGCCAGUGGCAGAGAGGUUUUCAGUUGCUCCUGGAGGCUUUGUCCAAGAUUAGCAUUAAGAAUUUAAAUUUACAUUUCUAGAUUAUACCUUCUUUUAAAAAUUAAUUUAAAGAAAAGCUUAUAAUUUUAACUUGUAUUUCUUACUACCAUAAUGCACUAUGCUUCUUUGUUAAGAAAAACAUGAUAAUUAUAAUACCAUUGUAUCUAUGCACAUAUGUAGUUUUGGCUUAAUUUUUUAUUUAUUAUUUUACUUUAUUUUCUGAUUUUUAAAUAUUUUUACUAUUGUGGAACAUAACAUAGUUAUGAAAAGUAACAAAACUUAAAUACACAGUUAGGGAAAAAAUUAUAAGUUUAUCUCCCAUGUUUACUACAUCUUGGCCAAAAAAUAAAAUUUGCCAAAAAUCCAGACACUCCCCAUAUAUACCUUCUUGUUGAUAUUGUUUCUCUUUAGUUUUCUUCCUCCCACAUACCCCAGUUGUUAUGAUAAUCACUUAUAUGUUUCGUUUUAGAGUUUUGCCACCAAUGUAAUAAAUUACAAUGUAUUAAAAUAUAUUUUUGCAAACUUCAUAUAAAUUGAAUUAAAUUGAAUAUUUUUUCAAUAUUGAUAAUUCCUCUCACAUCUGUAUUAGCUAUUUAGCUCAAAUUUGUUCAUUUUCUUUGUUAUAUAAAUUCUUUGUAAACAUGUCACUCUGGUUUGCUUUUUAAUUGCUGUAUAGUACUCUACCACAUAAGUAUGCCAUAAUUUAUUUAUCAUUUUAUCACUGAUGGACAUUUGGGAGACUUCUCAACUUGAGCUAUUAAAACACAGUGAUACACACUUUUUUCAUAUGUAUUCCAGUAGGAGUACAAAUAUUGGGUCUUAUGAGGUGAUCCUCCAUCAUAAUCAGAUUAUGUCAUACUCAGCCAAAGGAAUUCUUUCAAUUGAUAAUCCUAGGAGAAGUGUCUGAAAAAUUUUCAGUGCCUCAUGUCCUUUUCAAAAUUAGAAACAUCAGAAUAAUUUUUGCACUUUUAUAUUUAUAUAAAAUAUUAUUAAACUUAACAUUUUACAAUUUAAAUUCACAUUUGAAAUGUAACUGUAGUUUAAAAAUUACAUAUUACUCUUUUUUCAUUCUAUGACUCUGAUUUCAUAUACAUUUCUUAAGAAUAAAUUAUAUAUUUUAUAUACUUAUUUGUAUUAUGUUGUUAACUUUUCUAAUCUUUUUUCUUGAAGUUUCAAAUUCUCUUUUGUUAUCAGCAAGUAGAGUCAUACCAGAGAUAUUUUCUUCAAUCAAACAUUAUGUCAAAUGACUUUGAGAAAAUAUGAUUAGCUAUCAGCAUAUUGUAAGGGAAAAUUAGAUUGUUUAGAUUGUUUAACAACCCUUGAAAGAACUCAUUAAAAAAGUGUUAAAAUAUUAAAAUGAUUAUACAUUUAAUAUAGGCAUCAUAGGAAAAUACAAAUUCUAUCAUUACUAGUUUGGAAAAAAAAAAGAUUGGUAGUAAACUUCCCAUGUCUGAACAAACACACAUUAAAAAAGGGCAAGCCCAGUAUCACUGGUCAUGAUCCCCUUUAAGGUCUUGAUCUUAAACUCUCUGCGAUCCUGAUUUCUGAAUGUGCAGUAAAAUUCUUGGUUCUUCUAAAUUCAAUUCUGGGACCAAUGUCAAAUAGGAAAGCACUAGGGCAUACUAAUGGAUGAGUUCAAUGCUGCCUUUAUGGAAAAAAUGUAAUUUUCAAAAUGGCUCAAAUUACCUACUAUUUAAACAACGUCUCUUCUUGCUAUAGGCUUUUUUCAUAAUAAUUUUGAAGUAAAAGCUGAUUUCUCAUUUGCAAGCAUGCAAAUGAAGACAUAUUCUCUUUCAUUGUUUUGCAAUAUUUUCCUUGUGUAGUCAUAAUUUGUGUUCAGCAACAUCACUUGCUAUGGAAAUUUUUAAACCCAAUACAUAGAUCAUAUAUUGGAUGUCUAAAUUUCUGAAGGAAGCUUGAUCAUAACUUGUAUCAUGACUGCUGUUAAUUUAUUUUUCUCAAUACCAGAUACAUGUAAACAGAAUCUAAAUUUUUCCUAUCAAAAGCAUUCAAAAUUUUCUUGGGAAGACAUAUACACCCAUACACAUAUAUAUAUAUACCCCACAUGAAUGGGAAUAGUUUUUGUCCUACAGUUUCCAAAAUGGAAAAUAAAUUUUAGGGAUGUCACAUGCAGGUUGAAAUGGCCCUAUUUUCCUACUCAUAAUUUUCAGCCCAUUUUCAAUAUUUAUCGAACUGAUCUCGCAUCCUUAGGCUUUUAAGGAAGUCAUUCUCUUAAGUCAAUUUGAUAUACAAAUAUGAAUUAUUUAAUUAAAUAUUCAGCAUUUUUGUAAAUAUUCCUUGAGCACUUAAAAAUGUGUUUUCGAUUGAAGAAUAUUGACUUCUCUGUAUAUGAAUAUUUGGAUAUUUUUCUUUCAUUUUAACUUAUUUUUAUUAUUUAAUGGUUUAAGAUUAACAGAUGUUAAAGUCAGUCUCCCAUGUUGGGUUUUAUUCAUUCUCAGUUUUUACAGUAUAAUUGUUUCUAAGAAAGGAUCUUGGAGUCAGACUGCCAGGAAAGGAAAUCCAGUUCUCUGCUUCAUAUAGGUAUGAUCCGAGAAUCUAUUUUACAACAGCCUUAGGAUAGCUAUCUAUUAAAUGCAGAUGAUAAUAAUACCCUCUUUGGAUAGUCUUUAUGAAGAGUUAGUACACAUUUGUAUAACUGAUUUCAAUAUCAUCUGUCUGGUUCAGGCACGAAACAAGGAUUGCUCGUGUUUUAUUUGAUCUUGUGUUACUUGAUACAGAGAAGUUACCUGUGAAAACUUCCACUUUUGAAUAGAUAUAAUAGGUUCAAGAAAGCAAGAUGUCCUUCUGCAACAACUAGGAUAAGAUAAAUAAAGGGGCCAAAAUUAUGUUUGUAUUCAUCAAAGAGCUUGCAAGCAAUAAGGACCACCUGAAACGAAAUCCAGCACAAGGCGAGUCUUUACGUGUGAAGAGCAAUUUAUAAUGCAACCCUCAUCACGUCACAGAAAGCUUUUUCUGCAGAAAAUGUAAAACUACUCCAAAAAUAUGCCUGGAAAUGCCAAGUGAUUAGGCCAAUAAAAUAAUUUUUUUAAAAAUACAAAGUUGGAGGAUUAGUUUCUCAUUUCAAAGUUUACUGCAAGUUUACUGGACUAAAUCAAGACACUGUGGUAAUUGCACUAUGAGAGACAAAAAGAACAAUGAAACACAAUUGACUGUCCAGAAAUUGGUAAUGACAUUCAUGGUCAGCUGAUUUUUAAAAUCAUACAAUUGCAAUUCAAUAGGAAUUAAUCAUUUUUCUCAACAAAUGAUUCUGGGAAAAUUAAAUAUCCACAUGCAUAAAGAUGAAUUUAGGCUACUGCCAAUGCCCGCAUGGAAGCUGGCAGCCUUGGGCCAGCCUGCACCCCAUCCCGGUCCAAGAGCCUAUACCCUGCCACACUGCUGCUGCUGGCAUGUGUUAACAAGCUUGCAUUACACUGUCACUAUUCAAUGAAGAGCUUUGGCUGGUACCAUCCUUCAGAGUGUUGUGGCCAGCAAUUCAGGAACACAAUGUCCCUUCCAGCACAGCAGAUUCCCAAUGUUGAGGUGCCAGAGAACAAAGUCCGGUGUCCAAAACUAGACCCCAGACUUAGAGUUAGAAAUCUUUCCCCCCCUAAAAUCUACCAGAAACAAACUCAUUUGAUGGAAUCCACAGUGAAACCCCAAAGUGUGUCAAAGAAGAUAAAAACAGAAAAAAAAAAAAAUCCAAAGAAUGGCAACUUCAAAGAUUGAAGAAUAUCAGCCCACAGAGAUGAGAAAGAAUCAGCACAGUAACUGUGGCAACUCAAAAAGCCAGAGUAUCUUCUUACCUCCAAAUGACCACGCUAGUUCCCUCCCAUGCUGAAAAGGCAGAAAUAUGAUUCAGAACAUGGAUAGGAACAAAGAUCAAUGAAAUUCAGGAGAAAGUCAAAACACAAUCCAAAGAUUCUGAGGAACGCCAUAAAAUGAUACAGAAGACACAAACAAAAUGGUCAUUUUAAGAAAAAAUCCAACUGAUCUGAUAGAGCUGAAAACAUCACUUCAAGAAUUUUGGAAUACUAAUGCAAGUGUUAACAACAGAAUCAACAAAGCUGGGGAAAGAAUCUCAGAGCUCAAGAGUAGUCCUCUGAAAUUACUCAGUCAGGCAAAAAUAAAGAAAAAUAAUGAAGAAGAAUGCACAAAACCUCCAAGAAAUAUAAGAUUUUGUUAAGAGACUAAAUAUAUGACUCAUUGGCAUCCAUGAAAUACAGGAAUAGAAGGCAAACAACUUGGAAAACCUAUUUCAGGAUAUAGUCCAUAAAAAUUUCCUCAACCUUGUUAGAGAGGCCAGCAUUCAAAUUCAGGAAAUGCAGAGAACCCCUACGAAAUACUACACAAGAAGAAUAUACCCAAGACACAUAGUCAUCAGAUUCUCCAAGGUGAAAAUGAAAGAAAAAGUGCCAUAGGCAUCUAGAGAGAAAGGGCAGGUCACCUACAAAGGGAACAGCAUUGAGCUAACAGUGGAUCUGUUAGCAGAAACUCUACAACCAGGAAGAGAUGGGGGCUCAUAUUCAGAAAUUUUUUGAAAAAGAAUGUCCGACCAAGAAUUUCAUAUCCAGCCAAACUAAACUUCAUAAGUGAAGGAGAAAUAGGAUCUUUUUCAGACAAACAAAUGCUAAGGGAUUUCAUUACCACCAGACCCGCCUCACAAGAGGUCCUGAAUGGACUGCUAAUCAUAGAAAAGAAAGAUCAUUAUCAGCCAUAACAAAAUCACACUUAAGGCCAUAGACCAGUAUACUAUAAAGUAACCACAGAAACCAGUCUGCAUGAUAAGCAGCUAACAACAUAAUCAAAGGAUCAAAUUCCCACAUAUCAAUACUAACCUUGAAUGUAAACAGGUUAAACACCCCAACUAAAAGGCACAUAGAGGCAAUUUGGAUAAAGAAGCAAGACGCAAUGGUAUAGUGUCUUCAAGAGACUCACUUACAUGCAGUGAUACCCAUAAGCUCAAAUUUAAAAGAUGGAAAAAAAUCUACCAAGCAAAUGGAAAAUAGAAGCAGGGUUGCUAUUCUAACUUCUUUUUGUUUGUUUGUUUGUUUUGAGUCAGGGUCUCACUCUGUUGCCCAGGCCAUAGUGCAGUGGCGCAAUCUCAGCCUACCACAACCUCUACCUCCUGGUCUCAAGAAAUCCUCCCAACUCAGCCUUGCAAGUACCUGGGACCACAUGUGUGCACCACCAUGACUGGCUAAUUUUUGUAUAUAUUUUUUUCUUGAUAGAGACAGGAUUUUGCCAUGUUGCUCAGGCUGGUCUCAAACUCCUGGGGUCAAGUGAUCCACCCACCUCAGCCUCCUGAAGUGCUGGUAUUACAAGUCUGAGCCAUGGCACCUGACCUUGAUAAUCUACUUUCAUACAAAACUGUCUUUAACCAGCAAAGAUCAAGAAGAAACAGAUGGGCAUUACAUAAUUGAAAAAGGCUCAAUUCAGCAGGAAGACAUUACUAUUCUAAAUGUAUAUGCACCUGACAAAAGAACACCCAGAUUCAGAAAGCAAGUUCUCAGAGACCUAUUAAAAGAUUUAGAAAAUCACACAAUAAUAGCAAGAGAUUUCAACACCCCACCAACAGCACUAGACAGAACAUCAAGGCAGAAAACUAACAAAGUUAUUCAGGACCUGAAAUAGACACUUAACCAAAUGAACCUAAUAGACAUCCACAAAACAGUUCACCCCAAAACAAGAGAAUACACAUUCUUCUCAUCUGCACAUGGCAUAUAAUCUAAAAUCAGCCACACAACCUAACAUAAAACAAUUCCUAGCAAAUAUGAAAAAAAGAAAACCAUACCAACCACAUUCUUGGACCACAGCACAAUAAAAAUAUAAAUAAAUACUAAGAAAAUACCUUAAAACCAUAUAAUUACAUAGAAAUUAAACAACCCUCUCCUGAAUGACUUUUGGGUACAUAUUGAAAUUAAGGCAGAAAUCAAGAAAUUCUUUGAACAUAAUGAGAACAAAGAUACAACAUACCAGAAUCUCUGGGAUAUGGAUAAGGCAGUGUUAAGAGGAAAGUUCGUAGCAAUAAACACUGACAUCAAAAAGUUAGAAUGAUCUCAAAUUAAUAACAUAACUUCACAAGAGAAACUAAACAAACAAGAGCAAACCAAUGCCAAAGCUAGCAAAAGACAAUAAAUAACCAAAAUCAGAGCUGAACUGAAGGAAAUUGUGAUUUAAAAAAACAUAUAAAAGGUCAGUGAAUCAGGAUUUGAUGUUUUUAAAAAAUUAAUAUGAUAGACCCCUAACCAGACUAAUAAAGAAAAAAAAGAGAGAAGAUCCAAAUAAACCCAAUCAAAAAUGACAAAGUGGAUAUUACCACUGACCCCACUGAAAUACAAACAAUCCUCCCAAACUACUGUCAACACCUCUAUGCCCACAAGCUAGAAAACCUAGAAUAAAUGGAUAAACUGCUGGAUAUGUACAACCUUUCAAGACUGAAUCAGUAAGAAAUUGAAUCCCUGAGCAAACCAAUAACAAGUUCCAAAUUGAAAGAGUAAUAAAAAGCCUACCAGACAAACAAACAAACAAAAAAAGCCUAGGACCUGAUGGAUUCUCAGCAGAAUUCUACCAUGUGUAUAAAGAAGAACUGGUACUAUUCACACUAAACCUACUCUAAAAAACUGAGGAAAAGAAACUCCACGCUAACUCAUUCUACAAGGCUAAUAUCACCCUGAUACCAAAACCAGGCAGAGACACAACAAUAAAAGAAAACAACCUCGAUAAACAUAGAUUUAAAAAAACACUCCACAAAAUGCCAACAAGCUGAAUCCAGCAGCACAUCAAAAAGCUAAUCCACCAUAAUCAAGUAGGCUUUAUCACUGGGAUACAAGUUUGGUUAAACACAUGUAAAUCAAUAUAUGUGAUUCAUCACAUAAGUGAAACUAACAAAAACCACAUUAUUAUCUCAAUAGAUGCAGAAAAGGCUUUCAAUAAAAUUCAAUGUCUCUUCAUAUUAAAAACUCUCAACAAACUAGACAUUGAAGAUACAUACUUCACAAUAAUAAGAGCCACCCAUGACAAACCCACAGCCAAUAUCAUACUAAAUGGGCAAAACUGGAAGCAUUACCCCUUGAAAACAGGAACAAGACAAGGGUGUCCUCUCUCACCACUCUUAUUCAACAGUACUGGAAGUCCUGGUCAAAGCAAUCAGGAACAGAAAUAAAUAAAAGGCAUCCCAAUAGGAAGAGAAGUCAAAUUAUCCCUGUUCGCAGAUAAUGUGACUUUAUACCUAGAAAUCCCCACAGUUUCUGGCCAAAAUCUCCUUGGUCUGAUAAACAAACUCAGCAAAUUCCCAGGAUACAAAAUCAAUGUACAAAAAUUAGUAGCAUUCCUAUAGCAACAAAAUUCAAGCAAAGACAAAUCAAGAAGGCAAUCCCUUUCACAAUAGUCCCCAAAAAUAAAAUACAUAGGAAUACAGCUGACCAGGGAGGUGAAAUAUCUCUACAAAGAGUAUUACAAGAGACUGUUCAAUUAAAUCCAAUAAGACACGGACAAACGGGAAAACGUUCCUGGUGCAUAGAUGGGAAGAAUCAAUAUUGUUUAAAUGCCCAUACUGCCCAAACCAAUUUAGAGAUUCAAUGCUAUUCCUGUCAAAUUAUCAUUGAUAUUCUUCACAAAAUUAGAAACAAACUAUUUUAAAAUUCACUGGGAAUGAAAAAAAAAAGCCCAAAUAGCCAAGGCAAUACCAAACAAAAAGAACAAACAGGAAGUAUAACAUUACCUGACUGAACCAUACUACAAGGAUACAGAGACUAAAACAGCAUGGUAGUGGUACAAAAACAGGCAUGUAGACCAAGGGAAUAGAAUAGAGACCCGAGAAAUAAUGCCACCCACCUACAACCAUCUAAUCUUCAACAAAGUUAACAAAAACAAGCAAUGAGGAGAGACUCCCUGCUCUAUAAAUGGUGCUGGGAUAACUGGAUAGCCAUGUGCAGAAGAUGGAAAUGGACACCUUUCUUAUACAUACACAAAACUCAAUGCAAGCUGGGUUAAAUAAUAAAAUGUAAAACCUAAAACUAUUUUUUUAAAAAACGGAAAAAUAACCUAGUAAACACCAUUCUGGCAUAGGACCUGGCAAAGAUUUCAUGGCAAAGACACCAAAAUCAAUUGCAACAGAAACAAAAAUUGAAAAGUGGAACCUCAUUAAACUGAAGAGCUUCUGCACAAGAAAAGAAACUAUGAACAGAGUAAACAGACAACCUGCAGAAUGGGAGAAAAUAUUUUGUAAACUAUGCAACUGACAAAGGCGUAAUAUCUGGAACAUAUAAGGAAUUUACAUUUACAAGCAAAAAACAAAUACCACCAUUAAAAAUUUGAUAAAGGACAUGAACAAUUUUCAAG